rnacentral:rRNA from 1 species
AUGCACCGAAGCUGCGGCAGCGACACUAUGUGUUGUUGGGUAGGGGAGCGUUCUGUAAGCCUGUGAAGGUGUGCUGUGAGGCAUGCUGGAGGUAUCAGAAGUGCGAAUGCUGACAUAAGUAACGAUAAAGCGGGUGAAAAGCCCGCUCGCCGGAAGACCAAGGGUUCCUGUCCAACGUUAAUCGGGGCAGGGUGAGUCGACCCCUAAGGCGAGGCCGAAAGGCGUAGUCGAUGGGAAACAGGUUAAUAUUCCUGUACUUGGUGUUACUGCGAAGGGGGGACGGAGAAGGCUAUGUUGGCCGGGCGACGGUUGUCCCGGUUUAAGCGUGUAGGCUGGUUUUCCAGGCAAAUCCGGAAAAU